UGCCAGCCGCCGCGGUAACACGGGGGGCGCAAGCGUUAUUCGGAAUUACUGGGCGUAAAGCGCGUGUAGGCUGUCGUGCAAGUCGGGUGUGAAAGCCCAGGGCUCAACCCUGGAAGUGCACUCGAAACUGCAAGACUUGAGUCUCGGAGAGGGUAGCGGAAUUCUGGGUGUAGAGGUGAAAUUCGUAGAUAUCCAGAGGAACACCGGUGGCGAAGGCGGCUACCUGGACGAGUAUUGACGCUGAGACGCGAAAGCGUGGGGAGCAAACAGGAUUAGAUA
rnacentral:rRNA from 1 species